UUCGGUCAUUUCUUUCAAACAGUUUUGAUGGAGGAGGUUUAGGAUUUUUUUUUUUUGAGAGUUUUUUUUGGGAGAUGGAAAACUCUUGGCAGGGCAAAUGUGGUUCCACAUUGCAGUCGUCAACACCGUCUUUGACUUCCUCGUCGUCACAGGAGCUUCGGAAUCAGGCGGCGACAAAUACAGGGUAUUAUUUUUACCCACAUGGUCAACAAGAUUUAAGAACAGCAGUACAUGGAAGGGUGCAGGAUCCUUCACUUCCUAAUAAUUCACUUAUAAGUUCACACAGAUUGGGCAAUGUGAUUCCUGGAAAUUCUUUUCUGUCUCUUCUGUCUGGACCACCGUCUUUGUUACAGUGUGAUUUUCAAGAAUUCUCAAAUCCAAAACCACUUUGUAGCUCUGUUAAACUGAUGAGUGAUAAUAGUAGUGUUCUAGCGAAUGCUACUGGAAGCAGGAUACCACUGACAUUCAAUGGGCUACAAUCAGAAAAUUUAAGUGGGCAAAACUUACAUGGAGCAGGAUUUUGUCCCACUAACCUACAUGGAGCAGGAUUUUGUCCCACUAUCUCAUCCAGGCCAAUGACCAGUUCCAACUGUUCUAGCAAAUCUGUUUUGCCUGAUGUUAAGAGUUCAGAACUGGAUAAGGCAGUUGUCCAUUGCAUGGUCCCUGGUAAUGAGAAAGUAAAAGGUUCCUUUUCAUUGAGUGGGGAAUGGCGUAGUACAUGCCAUGCAAAUGUUCAAAAAGCCUGUGGCACAAGAGUUCAAACUUUCCAAGUGAAGUCAAUGGAGGCUAACUCUAACCAGUCAGCCAGUUAUAUGAGUGGUUGCCCUCGUGUUUUCUGUUUGAGUACAGGUGGAUAUCUACUCCUCAGCAAUACAGGACUUCUUGGUAUUGUUUGCUCAUGCCAUUGUUUUCACAUGUCUGUCCUGAAAUUUUGUGAGCACUCGGGAUUAUUUGGUGUUAACCCUGGGGAUGCUGUUUGUGUGGAUGGUGGUGAAACUAUUGCUCAGUGGCGUAAAGUCUACUUCCAGAAGUUUGGGAUUAGGGUUCCAGAAGAUCAGAGUGAUUGGGACUGGCCUGAAGGAUUAUCAACAACUGCUGGUUUGCUAAGAUCUAGAGCGACUACGUCCAACAUUUCCUCUAACAUUUCUCAUCUGGUUCAUUCAUCCGAAGGUUUAGUAAGGUCUGGACAGACUUUAGACAAUUCUGGGUUAUCAAAGAACCUUCAUACGGACCAGAAUUUGGUUAUUGACGCUUUGCAAAAUAAACAAAAGAGGAAUGUCCAGGAUAAUAGCAAUAUUCUUCUCAAGGGUUUGAUUGGCACUUCGCUGAGCAAUGUGCGAGCUGUGGUGGAUAACCAGAUAAUGGAGUGCCCUGUGUCUCAGUGCUUAACAAUGUCAAAAUUUGUUGGUAUUGGAUCACAAGAUGGCAGUCAGUCCAUUUCUGGUUAUAUUGAUUCCAUUCUGAAGAAUGGAAAUUCAUCCAUUUCCUACCCUGCUUCACAGGAGUUAAAAACAAUUUGUAAAGAAUCUGAUUUGAGCAUGAUUAAUGCACAGAGGAGUCUCUUUGUGGGCAGGGAUGCUGCUCUUUCAAAUAUUGAGUUGAAGCUUGGGCAACCAUAUCAAUCAAGUCAACAAUUUGAAAACUCAAAUCUAACAGCCUUGGGACCACAACUAUUGGAUACUCUUGUCAAUCCACCACCAAAGUCAGUCUUCCCCGAGCAGAUAAUGCAUAAUAACGAUUUGAGGGAAAAGGUGGAACUUGGGCAAAAUCUUUACUUUGCAACUGGCCCAUCUGGGCCGAGCACAAAAAGAGAACAAAACCAGUUGAACCUUGGGAACUGUGCAUUUGAAGUUGGUAAUUCCACUGAUGCUGGUAGACUAGAGAAAUUAAGAGGCAACCUGGUCCAUAAUUCUGUGGUUUCACUACCUACACCUACCCAUUCCAAAAUUCCAUCUGAAAGUAGUAUGCGAACAAAAGCUAAUGAUAAUAUGUUAAUUGGCAUGGAGCAUGUCAUGCCCAAUACACAGUAUUCUGGUAGCUUCUCCUGGCACAAUGAAAAUGGUUUAGAAAGGCAAUUACCCAUUCCUGAGUUGUGUUUGCGUGGACUAACUGACAAGGGUAAAGGAGUGGGCUCCAUUGGUGAUAAAUACUACUUUAUGAAGGACACAGCAUCUAGAACCCACAAGGAAAUGGAUAUCACAGGCAAUGAUCCUCAUAUUCCAGUACAAUGUGGAAACAGCUGCUAUUCACAUCAGCUUUCUAGUUUAGCAGUGGAGGUACCUGACACCAGAAAAAUAUGUAAUUACCCUGAAAAUGUUCCUUUUCAUGGAAGCGGUGGACAAGUUGAUCAUGUUAAUCACAGAUCUUUGGCUGUGAGCAUGGGGUCUGGGCUAAUUUCACCAUCUCAAGUAGUCUCAACGGGCAUUCCCUUAGCUACUUCUACCUGUUUAUUAGAUCAGACUUCAGCCUUGUCUAGAGAAGAGGGCAUUGGUGUCAGUGGUCAUUUACUUGAUGAUAAUUUGAGAUUGCUUGCACUUAGGCAAAUGUUGGAUUUAUCUAAGCAACAAAAUGCUUAUAAUUAUCUUGGAAUGAAGAAAGGGGAAGGAAAAUAUGAUGGCCUUUCUUAUGCACAGAAUUCUUGUUCUGAACCUUCAGUGCCAGGAGAACAAUGGCAAGGAUCUGGUCUUACCAGUAAAAUGGAUGUUUCUGAAGCUGCUGUUAAAGCACGUCUCUCUGGUACUUCUCGGUUUGGUGGUGAUAAAGGGAUGAACAAUUGCUGUGAUCUUUCAACUAUGACCCAAGGAAUUUCGCUACAUCCAAAAGAAAUGGCUGUGCAAUGUCAGCUUUCUAAUGAUCAUCUUCGAAAGGAGCAGCCUUCCAUGAGAAGUGAUAAGGACAUUGCUGGAUCAAGUGAGCAUGAAAAAAGUUGUUGCAGAAUACCAAGUGAUUGUUUUCAGCGAAACUGCAAUUGUUCAGUCCAUACAAAUCAUUUUGAAAGGAAUUUUGAGUCAAGAAUUGGAAACUUUCCUAAUGUCUUAAAGGAGCAAAUAGGAAUGGUCAAUAGUGAAGCCUCUGUAAUACUUGGUUCGAAAUUCGCCAAAAAUCAUAAUUUUGCAAAUGAUAAAAUGAUUUCUCUAGAGCAAAGUGGAUUGAAUGGUAAACUCCACAAAAACAUUUUCAGUCAUUCUUCUCAGUGGCGAGAUGUACCAAGUAAGGCGAAAGGGGUUUUUGAUGUGAUGCAUGUGGACUGUUCGUCGGAUGUAAUUGAUGGGAAAGGAUGUAAUGGAAGUCAACAUAGAGACACCUCUUCUAAAUGCUUAAAUGAUACGAUGCAGGCAAUGGACUCCUUGAAAGAGAAUGAAAUUUCGAAUAUUUCUUCUGGGUGUUCUGCCCCUGCAGUUACUCAGGUCUCAGUUGAGGUUAACAAUACGGAUUCUUAUAGUGCUGAUGUCGCUAAUAGUGGAUGUGUAAGUGAUCUUGUAAUUGAUGAAGGAUCAGGCAUUGAUGAAUGCUGGUCAUCAGAUGAUGCAUGUGGAAGUGAAAGAAGUGCUGAGUUCCUUGGUGCCACUUGUAAGACUAGCUUGAAAGAACCUGGGUCUUCCAAGAACAUAUAUCAUCAAUCAUCAAGAAGCCUUCUUGAUGAGCUUAAGCUUAUAAAUUCAUUAACAUGGAAGAAAGGUCGAAAUCAAAUCCAAACUGGGAUUGCUUCUCAGAAUAAGGACAAUCUUUCCAAGAGAUUUGAGAGACGCUUGAAAGCAGGGAAGAGAAAACGAGAUUGCCCUUAUGAAAAUUCCAAAUAUACUUGUAAUGCUGAGUCACCAUCUUGUUCAUCCAAAUAUAACCAGAUUAUAUCCUCAUCCAGUCAAGGGAAAACCCAUCGAGCCUCUUUUAGUCAACAAAGUUCCAGACGUAAAUUGUCUUCAGCAAGGAAACUUCCACGUAAAAGAGAUAUAUAUAAACUUUAUAAUGAGAGAGAAGAAAACGAUGUUAGUUGUGGAGAACUGUAUGUUGCUGCUGACACUAAUGAUAUUUAUGAGCUAUCUGGUGGAAAGAAAUUCAAAAUGGAUUACACGUGUGCUGUUACGAAGGCCAGGAUGCGAGAUGUAACUGAUGAAGGUAUUGGAGUAAUGAAGUACAACUCAGUAGGUUGGAUGAAGGCAUCUAGUUUGCAGGUGAAUAUUUGUCAAAUGAAGCCAAGGCCAAUGGUUUGUGGAAAAUAUGGUGAGCUAUCUGAUGGAAAACAGGAUGGAGUUGUGUCGAAAUCAGCUAAAAUUGUACCGCUUAGCAAGGUUCUUAAAUCUGCCAAAAGGUGCACACUGCCCCAAAAUCAAAAACCUAGACCAACUUUUGUGAAGGAGUUGAAGAAGACAGGCCACGAUGGAACUGAUGUAUACUGUGAUGAAUUCCAUUAUUUGAAUAAUGAGAUAGAGAGUUGUAGCUAUAAAAUUAAAAAUUAUGAUGGCGUAAAUAAUGAUGCAUCAGAAAGAAUGAACGAAGGAUGCUCUGCUGGAGAUUAUAAAUUUGCUGAAGAGUUGCCCAUGUUGGAGAAAGAGAAACAUGAUAAAAGCAAGAAAGAUUGUCAUAAAGUAGACACUAUUGCCUGUCAAUCCAAGAUUAAGAGUAAGGAAGUUCGCAAGCGUAGCAUUUAUGAGCUGACAGUUAAUGAUAAGAAUCCUAGCUCCAAAAGGUUUUCUCUUUUGAGGACUUCAAAAUGCUUUCCGAAAAUGAAAGCAGGAAAAGUUUUAAGGAAGGAUGAAGAUAAGAUGCUUGGAUUUCAUGGAGUAGUUGAUCAAAAAUCUCCUCAAGUGCGAAGGUGCUCAUCUCUUCUGAAUUCCGAUGCAUUCUGCUGUGUGUGUGGCAGCUCAAAAAAAGAUGAAUUCAAUUACUUACUGGAGUGUAGUCAGUGUUCAAUCAAAGUACAUCAAGCUUGUUAUGGUGUAUCCAGAGUACCUAAAGGCCAUUGGUAUUGCAGACCUUGUCGAACAAAUUCAAAAGAUAUUGCUUGUGUUCUUUGUGGUUAUGGAGGUGGUGCGAUGACUAGAGCACUGCAGAGUCGUGCAAUUGCAAAAACCUUUCUGAGAGCUUGGAAUAUUGAAACGGAAUGCAGGCCUAAGACUAUCCUUUCUUCUGUCAAAACUUUGCAAAACGAACUAAGCGGAUUGCAUUCAUCUGUAUCUGGAAAUGAAGAAGGUUCCUCAUUCUGUAUUCAACCUGAAAAUAUUGAACCACUGGCUUCAGCUGCCUGCAAAAUGGAAAUGCUAUACCACCUGGAUGUUGAACAGAAUUCCCCUCUUGUUUCUAAGUUAAAGGUACAUAACAGCAUUACAGUUGGAUUACUUGAUUCAACAACUAAGCAGUGGGUUCAUAUGGUUUGUGCACUUUGGACUCCCGGAACACGAUGCCCGAAUGUUGAUACUAUGAGUGCUUUUGAUGUAUCAGGAGCUUCACGUCCCAAAACAGAUGUGGUUUGCUCUAUAUGUUGCCGUCCUGGUGGUUCAUGUAUACAGUGCAGAGUUAUAAAUUGCUCUAUACAAUUUCAUCCCUGGUGUGCUCAUCAGAAGGGUCUGUUGCAAAGUGAGGUUGAAGGUGUCGACAGUGAAAGCGUUGGUUUCUAUGGAAGGUGCAUGCUUCAUGCUAUACAUCCAAUGUGUGAAACUAACUGUGACCCAGCUGGUAUUGAAACUGGUUGUUCAGGGAUAGAAGAGUUUACCUGUGCUAGGACUGAGGGUUACAAGGGCCGUAAACAUGAUGGCUUCUGCCACAAGUAUGGUCAAUCAAAAGGCAAGAGUGGAUGCCUUGUUCCUCAGGAGCAGUUGAAUGCAUGGAUUCAUAUAAAUGGACAGAAGACAUGCGCACAGGGACUUCCAAAAUUGCCAGCAUCAGAUGUUGAGCAUGAUUGUCGGAAAGAAUAUGCUCGGUAUAAGCAAGUCAAGGGUUGGAAACAUCUGGUAGUGUACAAGUCUGGCAUACAUGCUCUUGGUCUUUACACAUCUCGGUUCAUCUCACGCGGUGAAAUGGUUGUUGAGUAUGUUGGUGAGAUUGUGGGGCAACGUGUAGCCGAUAAAAGGGAAAAUGAAUAUCAGUCUGGAAGAAAACUUCAGUACAAGAGUGCCUGUUACUUCUUCAGAAUAGAUAAAGAACAUAUUAUUGAUGCUACUCAUAAAGGAGGGAUUGCUCGUUUUGUCAAUCAUUCAUGCCUGCCAAAUUGUGUGGCCAAGGUGAUAUCUGUGAGGAACGAAAAGAAGUUACUACUGGAGCCAAUGCCUUGUGGCAAUGUUGUAGUUAACUAAUUUGACUGGUAAAAUGGAUAGCUUGAGAGAAAUGCUGCAAUUGGCUCUAAGGUUAUGCUGUUUCACCUUAGGCGGGUAUGCUACAUAAUUUACCAAGACAGUAUUUGACCUGUCCCAUUGUACAUAGUACAUACCCUCACCAACACAAGACACGGAAAAGGUUGUCUUUUUCGCGGAGCGAGAUAUCUUUCCUGGGGAAGAGGUAACAUACGACUACCAUUUUAACCACGAGGAUGAAGGAAAUUCCUGGAGCUUCUUGUUGCUGAGAAAAAUACUAAAGGGUGUAGAACUAGUAUUAUCCUUCAGCUUAUCCAUCAGUAAUCAUGGAAGCAAUGUACACUUGUAGCUGUUUGAAAAGCAGCUAUUAUUUUCUUAUAAUGUGGUUGCCUUUACUUUUCUAAA